rnacentral:rRNA from 1 species
UGGGGAAUCUUGCACAAUGGGGGCAACCCUGAUGCAGCGACGCCGCGUGAGCGAUGAAGCCCUUCGGGGCGUAAAGCUCUUUCGACCGGAACGAUAAUGACGGUACCGGGAGAAGAAGCUGCGGCUAACUACGUGCCAGCAGCCGCGGUAAUACGUAGGCAGCAAGCGUUGUUCGGAGUUACUGGGCGUAAAGAGUGCGUAGGCGGUUUUUUAAGUUCGGUGUGAAAUCUCCCGGCUUAACUGGGAGGGUGCGCCGAAGACUGGGAAGCUGGAGUGUGGGAAAGGCAGGCGGAAUUCCAGGUGUAGCGGUGAAAUGCGUAGAUAUCAGGAGGAACACCGGCGGUGUAGACGGCUUGCUAGACCAUAACUGACGCUGAGGCACGAAAGCGUGGGUAGCAAACA